UCUCUCUCUCUCUCUUUCUUUUCCCAUUACAUUGCCCUAAUAACAAAACAUUCUAGAGCUAGUUGUGCAGCAUGAAGAGAAAAUGGGACUAGAAGUGGGAGACUACAUGAAAACAGAUGAAUCAAUGUAAGAAAAUGCAUGAUAUCAUGCUUUCUUCUUCAGUUGGCCUCUUUCUACAAGCAGCCAUUGCAUAACAGGCAUUUCAUGUGCAAUACAGUUUGAUUAUGUCACUAAAGUCUCUGAUCUGAAAUAUCAUUGUAAUGCUUUACCUUUUGUUGCCUGAUUUAGAAGGAACAGCUUAUGUUGUCAUUUCAUUUUGAAGAACUAACAUCCAAAUACAUUGCAAUCAAUCACAAACCCGUGAAUAGAAAUAUAAACCCAGGAGACCAUUCUUUACAUGUUCACAUAAUCUGUCUUCUACCAGUUGUAUUUUGAAAUCCAUGGUGUAA
rnacentral:misc_RNA from 1 species